GGAGGGGUGCCGGAGUGGAUGAUCGGGGCGGUCUCGAAAACCGCUGUGGGUCCAAACGACCCACCGUGGGUUCGAAUCCCACCCCCUCCG
rnacentral:tRNA from 1 species